rnacentral:rRNA from 1 species
GAUGAACGCUGGCGGCGUGCCUAAUACAUGCAAGUCGAGCGAACAGACGCUGAGCUUGCUCCUUUGUCGUUAGCGGCGGACGGGUGAGUAACACGUGUAUACCCUACCUAUAUUACUGGGAUAACUUCGGGAAACCGGAUCUAAUACCGUAUAAUAUAUUGAACCGCAUUGUUCAAUGGUGAAAUACGGUUUUGCUGUCUCUUCUAGCGGCUUCCGAGCCGCAUUGGCUAGUUGUUAAGGUAACGGCUUACCAAGGCAACGAUGCGUAGCCGAACUGAGAGGGUGAUCGGCGACACUGGAGCUGAGACACGGUCCAGACUCCUACGGGAGGCAGCAGUAGGGAAUCUUACGCAAUGGGCGAAAGCCUGACGGAGCAACGCCGCGUGAGUGAUGAAGGUCUUCGGAUCGUAAAACUCUGUUAUUAGGGAAGAACAAAUGUGUAAGUAACUAUGCACGUCUUGACGGUACCUAAUCAGAAAGCCACGGCUAACUACGUG